UCACUGUGAAGAGAAGACAGCAGCUGUUAUAAGGAGGACGAGUGUCUUCUGUGGACAGACUGACUGUCUCAAGUAUCGAAUUAGGAUGUUUGUUCUCAUCUGGGUGGCUUUCCUCCUCUCUGUGAGAUGCAGCAUUGCUGACAAAGAUACAUCCUGAUCAAGCAGUGCAAGAUAAUCAAACUCACUACCAAGAGGCACCAAAAGAUGGAGCUGAAGGAGUGGAGAGAGGAGCCCCUGAUCUCAACGGUGCAGCAAAAGACGUGGAGUACGC